GAUGAACGCUAGCUACAGGCUUAACACGUGCAAGUCGAGGGGCAGCACGGUGUAGCGAUACACUGGUGGCGACCGGCGCACGGGUGAGUAACACGUGUGCAACCAACCCCGUACCGGGAGAUAACCCGCGGAAACGUGGACUAACAUCCCAUGAUACUCGAGAGCCGCAUGGCUCUAGAUUUAAAAUUCCGGUGGUACGGGACGGGCACGCGCGACAUUAGGUAGUUGGCGGGGUAAGGGCCCACCAAGCCGACGAUGUCUAGGGGUUCUGAGAGGAAGACCCCCCACACUGGGACUGAGACACGGCCCAG
rnacentral:rRNA from 1 species